AAUUUUCGACAAUGUGCGAAAGCCUGAUCUAGCAAUCCCGCUUGCUGGAUGAAGGCCUUCGGGUUGUAUACUGCUGUUGUUCGGAACGAGUAGCUUUGGGUUAAUACUCAGGAGUCAUGUCGGUACCGCAAGAAUAAGCUUCUGUUAACUACGGUCUAGCAGCCGCGGUAAUACGUAGGGUGCCAGCGUUAAUCGGAAUUACUGGGCUUAAAGCGUGCGCAGGCGGUUUUGUAAGACAGAGGUGAAAUCCCCGGGCUCAACCUGGGAACUGCCUUUGUGACUGCAAGGCUAGAGUACGGCAGAGGGGGGUGGAAUUCCGCGUGUAGCAGUGAAAUGCAUAGAUAUGCGGAGGAACACCGAUGGCGAAGGCAACCCCCUGGGCCUGUACUGACGCUCAUGCACGAAAGCGUGGGGAGCAAACAG
rnacentral:rRNA from 1 species